CCCUUAGAUGUUCUGGGCCGCACGCGCGCUACAAUGAUGAAUUCAACGAGUUUAUAACCUUGGUUGAAAAGCCUGGGUAAUCUUUUGAACUUUCGUCGUGAUGGGGCUAGACCCUUGCAAUUAUUGGUCUCCAACGAGGAAUUCCUAGUAAACGCAAGUCAUCAGCUUGCAUUGAUUACGUCCCUGCCCUUUGUACACACCGCCCGUCGCACCUACCGAUUGAAUGGUCCGGUGAAAUCUUCGGAUUGAGACUUUGAUUUGUUUACUCAAAACGCUGUUUCAAGAAGUUGAUUAACCCUUACCAUUUAGAGGAAGGUGAAGUCGUAACA
rnacentral:rRNA from 1 species